CCUACGGGUGGCAGCAGUGAGGAAUAUUGGUCAAUGGGCGCGAGCCUGAACCAGCCAAGUCGCGUGAGGGAAGACGGUCCUAUGGAUUGUAAACCUCUUUUGUCGGGGAGCAAAAGACGCCACGCGUGGCGUUCCGAGAGUACCCGAAGAAAAAGCAUCGGCUAACUCCGUGCCCGCAGCCGCGGUAAUACGGAGGAUGCGAGGUUUAUCCGGCUUUAAUGGGUUUCAAGGGUGCGCAGGCGGAAGGUCAAGUCAGCGGUAAAAUUGAGGGGCUCAACCCCGUCGAGCCGUUGAAACUGGUUUUCUUGAGUGAGCGAGAAGUAUGCGGAAUGCGUGGUGUAGCGGUGAAAUGCAUAGAUAUCACGCAGAACUCCGAUUGCGAAGGCAGCAUACCGGCGCUCAACUGACGCUCAUGCACGAAAGUGUGGGUAUCGAACAGGAUUAGAUACCCCGGUAGUC
rnacentral:rRNA from 1 species